GUGGGGAAUAUUGGACAAUGGGCGCAAGCCUGAUCCAGCCAUGCCGCGUGUGUGAAGAAGGCCUUCGGGUUGUAAACUGCUUUUGUACGGAACGAAACGGUCCUGGUUAAUACCUGGGGCUAAUGACGGUACCGUAAGAAUAAGCACCGGCUAACUACGUGCCAGCAGCCGCGGUAAUACGUAGGGUGCGAGCGUUAAUCGGAAUUACUGGGCGUAAAGCGUGCGCAGGCGGUGCUGUAAGACAGGCGUGAAAUCCCCGGGCUCAACCUGGGAAUUGCGCUUGUGACUGCAGUGCUGGAGUACGGCAGAGGGGGAUGGAAUUCCGCGUGUAGCAGUGAAAUGCGUAGAUAUGCGGAGGAACACCGAUGGCGAAGGCAGUCCCCUGGGCCUGUACUGACGCUCAUGCACGAAAGCGUGGGGAGCAAACAGGAUUAGAAACCCCUGUAGUCC
rnacentral:rRNA from 1 species